GCUUUUAGAAGCACAAAGAAGGAAAUGAAUUACAAGUCUACUGGAAUACAUAAAGAUAGCUUUAUUUUCAAAGAGUGGAACAGAGGGAAACAGUAAUCCCGACUUCAGAGCAGUGAAACUUGGCAGGACAAGAUGAGCAAAGGUUUGGAAUAGUUGCUUUCAAAGAGCAUCAUUUGAAGAACUCCACCAUCUCCUGAUUCCCACAUCAGUCAGCACUGAACCCACAAAACUGGGAUGAAAGUAAGGCACUCUCGAUCCCAAGGGGCUGUCGAAGAAGCUGGACAGAAACUGAGAAAAUGAAAAGAAAUGAAAGAUAAUUGAAAAUUGCAAGUAAGCAGUCUGAGAAAAUGGAUAACAUCAGCCUUCGUGCAGUCAUCCGCUACCUCGGUCUCAAGGGCUUAUCACCCAAGGAGGUCCACAAGGACAUGGUGGCAUCACUAGGGGAGGGUGAAAAAUAAAUGUGCUAAGUUUUCUCAAAUUGACUCCUUCAACCUUAGGCCACGACCUUAUCAAUCACCCCUCGUAUUACAUUAAAAUAAACACAGCCGGUGGCUCAAUGGGCAGAGAGUACUGCUACUCCGCUUCAAAGGUAGCAUGCACGUGUGCACAAUGCUAUUACAGCUCGGUGGGGUGGGGGGGGGGAGUAGGGAGAUCACAGUUUAGUUUAGGUACUGUCUGUAAGGAGUUACUACAUUCUCCCAGUCACCGCGUGGGUUUCCUCCAGGUGCUCCGGUUUCCUCUCACGGUCCAUCAAUAGAUUAACUGAUUGUAAAUUGUUCAGCGCUUAAGCUAGUGUUAAGUACCGGCGGGUUGCUGGGCAGCACUGACCAUUGGGAUGGAGGGCAUGUCUACACUGCACCUCUAAAUAAAUAAAUAGAUGAACUAAAAUAAGUUGGAAGGAAUUUUAUUGUGGGAUCUAAACUGAGGGGAUAUGGUGCUUUGCAUUAAUUGCUUGAGCGAUGAACACAUUAAGUCACUCCCAUCUAUGCUAAUAUUAAAACUCCUUAAAAUUAAAAGGAUGUUUAACCAAGUAUAUGUCCACCUUAUAAACCAGUUCUGCUCUGUACAAGAGGUUGUGCUGUUGGCUACGCUUUAUUUCAUUCUUGGCUGCUUGCAGCAUUUUAAUUUAUUUAUUGAGAUGUAGUGUGGGAUGGGGCCCUUUUGGCUCUUUGAGCUCUACUGUGUAACAAUCCAUGGAUUUAAUCCUCACCUAAUCAUGGAACAAUUUUGGAUGACCAGUUAACCUGCCAGCCAACAAGUCUUUGGACUGUGGGUGGAAGCUGGAGCACCUAGAGGAAAUGGAUAAUGGGGAGAACGUGCAAACUCCUUACAGGCGGUGGUGGGAAUUGAGCCCGACACUGGUGCCGUAAAGAGUUGUGCUUUAAAGUUUUUAGCCAAUAGCAGAGGAUAUCUGUUUAAGGUGAGUGGAGGAAAGUUUAUGGGAGAAUUUACACAGAGACUGACAGGUGUCUAGAACUCACUGCUGGGGAUAGGAGUAGAGGCUGAUAAAAUAGGGACUAAAAAAGACUGUUCGAUAGGCACAUGAGUAUAAGAAAAACAGAGGGUUCUGGGCUGUGUAGGGGAUAUUAAUCUUGUAGUAAAUUUCUAUAAGUCAGCACAUCAUGGACCGAAGGGACCAUACUGUCCUGUACUGUUCGAUGAAAAUGAACACACAGAAAGAAUUAAAUAACCAAAGCUGAUAAUCCCUGUACAGAUCAGCAAUGGAGUCAAAAUGGACCUAUACUCGGAUAAGCAUCCUUUUAAUUUUAUGGUGUUAUAAUAUUAGCGUAUUACAUUUGUCUCUCAAGCAGUCAAUCCACAAAGUCAUUACCUGGCUCGGGCCUAGUUUUCAUCAAAGGGAAUUAAAAUGAAGAGUAAAGAAUCAGUGGUCCAUUACCAGUAACAGUACUUUCCAAUUAAUCAGUAAGUAGCUACAAGCUGUAAAAAACAGAAUCAAAUGGCUUACUGCAUCCUAAAGUACAGAAUUCUUUUUGUAGGUGACAUGUUGAGAUGUAAAUGAGAAAGAAAACUUACAUGGGCAACUGCAGCUGUGAAUAUUCACAUCAUUUCAUUGUUCAUUCAUGCUCAUCAGAUCCCACAGUGGAUUAUUGUAAAGUGCAUCAGUUAAAACAUGUUCCUUUAUACAAUUACAUUUAAAAAUGUCAGGUUAAAUAACAGAAUGUAAGAUUGUAUUAAUUCAGUUUUGAAUGUAUGACUGUACUAAGGAAA